rnacentral:rRNA from 1 species
CCUACGGGGGGCAGCAGUGAGGAAUAUUGGUCAAUGGCCGGAAGGCUGAACCAGCCAAGCCGCGUGAAGGACGAAGGUGCCAAGCAUUGUAAACUUCUUUUGUCAAGGGACAAAAUCAGGCUCGAGAGCCUGACCGAGGGUACUUGAAGAACAAGCAUCGGCUAACUCAGUGCCAGCCGCAGCGGUAAUAUGGGGGAUGCGAGCGUAAUCUGGAUUUAUUGGGUUUAAGGGGUGCGUAGGCGGGCUGUUAAGUCAGCGGUAAAAGCCCGGGGCUCAACCCCGGCGAGCCGUUGAAACUGGCUGUAUUGAGAUGGCGAGAGGUAUGCGGAAUGCGCAGUGUAGCGGGGAAAUGCGUAGAUAUUGCGCAGAACACCGAUUGCGAAGGCAGCAUACCGGCAGCGAUCUGACGCUGAGGCACGAAAGCGUGGGUAUCGAACAGGAUUAGAUACCCCUGUAGUC